rfam:Triticum aestivum genome assembly, contig: Triticum_aestivum_CS42_TGACv1_scaffold_526999_6DL
GUAGUACUCCCUCCGUCCGAAAAAGCUAAGCUUGUCCCUCAGAUGGAUGUAUUUAGCACCAAGUUAGUGCUAGAUACAUCCAUUUGAGGGCCAAGCUUUUUCGGACGGAGGGAGUAACAC